AGCUGCGGAUGCUCUUUCCCAGGAGGCAGCUCUUUGUCACGGGAGCGAAGGAAUCCGCAGCAUGGCUGCCGCGGGGCAAGCAAGCAAGCUCCGUGUUCGGAAUUAGCUCCAGAGAAGCUCAGUAUCCAAGGAAGGCACAUCUCUAACCAUUUCCAUGUAACUCUGUCAGGAAACCUGCUUACAACCCAGGGUGAACAGUGUGGUAAAGGCUUCCACUACAGUCUCUGAUCAUCGCUCCAUCCUGGGGUUCCAGUUGAAACACUUGACAUUUUGAUUUUUCUCCAAAUCUCUGGAAAUCAACACUCCUAUCCAACGAUCAUCACGAAAAAUCUGAGAAGGCAGCUGAAUCCUUGGGAAGAUCAUGGUUCCAGGGAGCCUCUUCUUUCACCUGAGGUUGAGUAUGCCACCAUCCAAAACGCGAUGUUAGCUGGGGUCUCUGGACAGGAAAACCAAAGGGUUUGACUGGCAACUGUCCUCUCCACUUUGAUUCCUGGUCAUGGCGUAGGGAAGUGCAACUCACAAUGGCAAAUUCCUGUGUGCCCUUUCUCCUCUGUACACCAUGGAGUCUACUUCCAGGUUUAAGACAGGUCCUGCACAACUCCUGAAGGACAGCAAAUGUACAAAGGGAAUAAGAAGAAAUCCAAAAGAUAGGAAUGCAGAAAGCCAGAAGAAGAAAAUGAAACCUAGACAACAGACUGAGGACCUAAGCAUGAAAGUAAGGGAGGAAGUGACAAAAGAUGGAGAGAAAGAAGGGAGAAAGGGAAAGUAGGAUGGACAGAAGGAUGAAAACAGGAAAGAAGGACUGACAUAUUUAUGACCUCUAGGUUGAUUUUCUGGGGACCCUAAAGCAGAGAGACCAGACCCCUGGGCAGUGGCUGAUUCCAGGAAAUGAAGUAUUUGUGCAGGUAUGUGUCUAAAAACUGGAUAGAUUCUGUAUUUUUAUUAUUUUUUAUUUUUGUUUUUGAGACAGGGUCUCUCUGUACCUUUGGAGACUGUCCAGGAACUAACUCUUGUAGACCAGACCGGCCUCGAACUCACAGAGAUCCACCAUCCUUUGCUUCCUGAGUGCAGGGAUUAAAGGCGUGCGCCACCACCGCCCAGCUAGAUCCUGUAUCUUAACAAGUUAUUCAUCUAUCUGCAUCCCAGGGCGGAGUGUUCCUCAUCACAACAUGGCUGCCACAAGAUCGCAAAACCUGUAUUCAGGGCUUUACUACUUUGAAAUCCGUGCUGCCUUGGAGGCUAGCACUGGUUGAGUCCCACCCUAGGCACCAAACCCAGCUUACCCCAGAACUAGCAAGCUAGUUAGAGCCCCCAUUAAUUCAGUAUUUGGACCAGAAGCCCCAACAUUCCUCACCUAAUGGUUUUCAGACAUACAGACAAAAAGCACAUUGGGUUGAUAUUGGGAACAGCAAAGUAGUUCCGCUUGGUGGCAGCAUAGCAACAGUAAUGCGAAUGAAACCCUUCAUUCACAUUCACUCCCUCUGCCUUUCUCUGAGGAAAAAAAUAAUGAAAAGAGU